rnacentral:rRNA from 1 species
AACGAACGCUGGCGGCAGGCCUAACACAUGCAAGUCGAGCGGCAGCGGGACCUUCGGGUUGCCGGCGAGCGGCGGACGGGUGAGUAAUGCCUAGGAAUCUGCCUGUUAGUGGGGGAUAACGCGGGGAAACUCGCGCUAAUACCGCAUACGUCCUACGGGAGAAAGCGGGGGCUCUUCGGACCUCGCGCUAACAGAUGAGCCUAGGUCGGAUUAGCUAGUUGGUGGGGUAAUGGCCCACCAAGGCGACGAUCCGUAACUGGUCUGAGAGGAUGAUCAGCCACACUGGAACUGAGACACGGUCCAGACUCCUACGGGAGGCAGCAGUGGGGAAUAUUGGACAAUGGGCGAAAGCCUGAUCCAGCCAUGCCGCGUGUGUGAAGAAGGUCUUCGGAUUGUAAAGCACUUUAAGUUGGGAGGAAGGUCUGUAAGCUAAUAUCUUGCAGUCUUGACGUUACCAACAGAAUAAGCACCGGCUAACUCUGUGCCAGCCGCCGCCGUAA